UUGAAUUCUUCAGAAACAUGUGAGUGGCUCUGCCACUCACUACCAAACGUAUACCUUUUAAUUUCGCAUUGUUUUCAUUUCAUUCGACGUAAUGGCAUGUCCGUGCUGCGUUGAAAAAAAAUGAAAGAAAAGGGAAUUGAUUGUAUAAAGUGGAGAAGUGUCGGGGGGUGGUAUUUAAAAGGUGAUAAAUAUCAAUGGCGGAGUGACUUCCUUUUUGUUUCUUCCGCAGUGCAAUAUUUCCAUUCAUCGGUGUUUUUUCAGGCUGAGUCAUAGGUCGAGCGAGUGAGAAAUUGAACUGGCUAUACGUGACCAGUAGCGGAAUCACGAUUAUACGUUCACUUUUAACAGGUAUAAUUCAUUGCUAUUGGGUCCUAGCCGAUGAGAAUGGCAAUUGGUAACACUUACCAUUGCAAAUCAAUGGUUCUGGGAAAAUAUGGUGUUGUAUAAGAAUUUGGGAAAGAUGAGGAACAUUGAAGGGCAUUGAAGCGGAUAAGAGGAUAUAACUUCAUGGCUCUUGAACUCAUAAACUCCAUCUACAUGUUUCAACUAAUUAACUUACGACACGUAACUCUGCAAACUUUUUAUGUUGUGAAUUAAAAUUACCUUUGGAUAAUUCUUAACGUCUAUUUGUUAGAGAAAAGUUGGAAAAUCGUGUCACGAUUUCUUACGUCUUGUUUCUUCCACUAGUUACAAACUAUCCACUUGGCAAGCGAUACAAGUACUCGAACUUCCUCCAGUCAUUUUUAAUCACAUUUUUUUUCUCCAAAUUUUACUUUUGCACUAUUGCCACGAAUUUUUUUAUUCAUGUAGAUGAAUUGACUUCGAACCGAAGGCAACAGCACCAAUAUACAUGUGCAAUUCUAUUGUGAAUUCGUACUAGAGAAAAACUAUUGAAAAAUCCACGGAAAUUCUUUAUGGACACUAUCAUAAUAUUACUCUUGAAAUUUCACCUAAAAACAUAGUGGAUUGUCUCCAAAACCCAGACAGUUUCCAGACCGAUAGUUUGACAUUUCCCUUCCCCUUGGAUUCCAGAUUUCAUCACAGAUUACGUAGGUCAUUCACACCACAAUUCCCAUAUGAUCAAGCUUGAUUGAAAUGAGAAAAAAAAACAAACAAGAAUAAUCUACUCAUAAAAAAGAAGAAAAGAGGAUAGACUUCCUUCGACCUCCAGCUGCGUAACGUCAUUCAGCAGCCGCAGGUGAAAGCGGCCCGCCCAUAAAGUAAAAUGCAUUCCUCAUCAUCUCUCCAUCACCGAGAGCAACAAUCAAAGCACCGACACUGACGUCAAUAAUCCGUAUUGUUGAACGUCAGUGAUUGCAGUACGUGCCCAACCAAAGUCUUCAUCUCUUUUGAUGUACUAUGUACAACGUCACUGAACUGGAAUGCCACAAUCUCUCUAAACAUCAGCUCAGGAUCAUUUAAAUCCCAUGGAAGGCUAAAAAAUUGGAUAAUAAUGUAACGCCUACAAGUAGCAUUCUUGGAAGUGGAAUGCUAGGGCCCUUUCAUUUUCCGUCUUGGUAAUUACUUGGUAAUUACUGAAAUGCUGGAUGAAAAAGUACGUGACUGAAUCACGAAGGCUGGCGCGCUGAGAUCCGAUGAGCAAUGAACUUGACCGGAAGUGGGUCACGGCGAUAAUUCAAUGUGCUAUACCAACCGCAACAAAUUGGUACCUAUUUUCUUCAUUCUCUCAUUUCAUUAAAAACUAGUAAAUACGUAUUAAAUAAAUUGAUGAAGAGAUAGGCCGGGUAAACGAAUUGAGAUUCAUUUCAUUUUGCUCUCAACAUCUCAACAUCGUUUCCUUUCGAGAAUUAGUUUAACCACUCGAAAGAGAGAGGCCUCCUGCCAUCAGGAAAACUCCAAGUUUAUCCGUGUCGUUAGGGAGUCGUUUAUGAAGUUAUGUAGAUUGGAAUUCUGGGGGGAGAAGAGGAGGGGGAUAUUUUCAGUUAUUAAGAGAAAACUUUCGAGUGAUUUUAGCAGUAUCAACUUUUAAUGAGAAAUAAAUUUCAAUGACUUGGCAUUUUUUUAACGCAAAUUUAUCGAAUUUCUUCAUCAACCAUUAAAUAAUAGAAUAGAACAAAGAAAUUCUAUUAUUCUUUACCACUGAUUGCCAUACUCUCCACUCAAAAGCUUUAUUUCCCUCAAAUUAUUUCAUUGAGUUGCAAUAUUAAUGAUUUCGAGUUCUCAUGGCAACCUGGGUCGGAGCGGUGAGAGCAAACUGAUCUUACUUUCACGCUUACCCACACUGGAUACAGCCGUACAUACAUAUCGUAAUUUCCGCUGUAUCGGGGGCCAAGGACUACACACCUCACACACAAGUGACCAUGAUAAUAAUCAAGAACCAGGAACCGAGAAAGGAAGAAGACUGGUUUUUAUAUUAGACAUUCGACACCACACAGGACGUCCGAACGAUGCCUCGCAAGCAUGACCCACAUACCAGUUACCGGUGUGGCUGACCUACAGUUAGACACCUCCACUUGUUCAAAUACUACAACAAGAAAAAAACUCUAUCAAAUGACCAAUAUUUCAUCGAUAUUAUAAUCAUGGGUAAUAAUAAUUAAUUAUUGCUUGCUCAGAUGCUAACAAAACAUUCCAAGAUGAGAGAAAUGUCGGAUUAAUUUUCUUAUUCCCAAAAGCCCAGGCUCAGAUCUUGAAUUUUUUCCAAUCUACCCCAAAUAUCUCGACAAAAUUGAUUUUUUUUAUCGGAGCAAUGGUGAUAUGAUCAUAUUCAUUCACCCGUCAAGUACUAAUAAAAUACUAGGAGGUGACAAAAGUUUUGCAAUAAUCAGUACAAUAACAAGGUGACAGUGAGGGAGACAGAGAGAGAGAGAGACAGAUAUGCAUCCAGAAUAUUUCCGAAGAAAACCUCGGAACAGAAAUUUUCAUUUUAUCAUCUAACGAUUUUUCAAUUAAUAAUCAAAAAAAUUAUCAAACCAUUUCAAUGAAUGUAUCAAAAACUCCAUCAAUUGAGAAAGUAUUUCAUCACUGAAUAGGAGGCCUGUGAUGACCUAAUAGAAAAUCCCUGUGAAUAAUUCAUGGCAACUAUAACAACCAGCGUUCAUCCACCGAAAAAGAAUAUUUCUCGAGUUCCAAGUAUUCUAAUCCUGACAUUUGGCAGACAAAAAAUAAGUGAAAGAAUUUUAUUCGUGAAGAAAAAAAAUAACGAAAACUGGAUCAACCGGAUCCUCAAGCAAGUGAAACUUUCCAAUGACGCUCGUGACGAAUAUGACUAUUUUAUUGCGAGGGGAGCCUGCGCUUUUUACAUUCAAUCGUCUUGAUAAUUCUGUCGGCUUAUUAGGUCUAGUUUUGUUUGUAGCCUCAAACAUCAACGAAGAACAGAGAUAGCUACUGAAGCAACGACGAUUGACACGGCCUUACUUUCACCCUCAAACAAGGUCUAGGACGAUGGGCUACAUUUCGCUUUAAUACCUCUCAGUUUUCAUUUUUUUCAUCGCAUCUUUCUCUUGCUCUUUUUAUUUCCCCUUGUUGUCGUUUGCGUGGUAUAAAUACAAUAAUCAUGUUUUCAUUAUUCAGAAAUUUAAUAUGAUCAAUAAAC